GAUGAACGCUGGCGGCGUGCCUAAUACAUGCAAGUCGAGCGAACGGACGAGAAGCUUGCUUCUCUGAUGUUAGCGGCGGACGGGUGAGUAACACGUGGAUAACCUACCUAUAAGACUGGGAUAACUUCGGGAAACCGGAGCUAAUACCGGAUAAUAUUUUGAACCGCAUGGUUCAAAAGUUAAAGACGGUCUUGCUGUCACUUAUAGAUGGAUCCGCGCUGCAUUAGCUAGUUGGUAAGGUAACGGCUUACCAAGGCAACGAUGCAUAGCCGACCUGAGAGGGUGAUCGGCCACACUGGAAAUGAGACACGGUCCAGACUCCUACGGGAGGCAGCAGUAGGGAAUCUUACGCAAUGGGCGAAAGCCUGACGGAGCAACGCCGCGUGAGUGAUGAAGGUCUUCGGAUCGUAAAACUCUGUUAUUAGGGAAGAACAUAUGUGUAAGUAACUGUGCACAUCUUGACGGUACCUAAUCAGAAAGCCACGGCUAACUACGUG
rnacentral:rRNA from 1 species